GCCUACGGGAGGCAGCAGUGAGGAAUAUUGGUCAAUGGCCGCAGGGCUGAACCAGCCAAGUCGCGUGAGGGAUGACGGUCCUAUGGAUUGUAAACCUCUUUUGUCAGGGAGCAAAGGGCGCCACGUGUGGCGUUUUGCGAGUACCUGAAGAAAAAGCAUCGGCUAACUCCGUGCCAGCAGCCGCGGUAAUACGGAGGAUGCGAGCGUUAUCCGGAUUUAUUGGGUUUAAAGGGUGCGCAGGCGGAUUUUUAAGUCAGCGGUCAAAUCGUGGGGCUCAACCCCAUCCAGCCGUUGAAACUGGGGAU
rnacentral:rRNA from 1 species